rnacentral:rRNA from 1 species
GACGAACGCUGGCGGCGUGCCUAAUACAUGCAAGUUGAGCGCUGAAGGUUGGUACUUGUACCGACUGGAUGAGCAGCGAACGGGUGAGUAACGCGUGGGGAAUCUGCCUUUGAGCGGGGGACACCAUUUGGAAACGAAUGCUAAUACCGCAUAAAAACUUUAAACACAAGUUUUAAGUUUGAAAGAUGCAAUUGCAUCACUCAAAGAUGAUCCCGCGUUGUAUUAGCUAGUUGGUGAGGUAAAGGCUCACCAAGGCGAUGAUACAUAGCCGACCUGAGCGGGUGAUCGGCCACAUUGGGACUGAGACACGGCCCAAACUCCUACGGGAGGCAGCAGUAGGGAAUCUUCGGCAAUGGACGAAAGUCUGACCGAGCAACGCCGCGUGAGUGAAGAAGGUUUUCGGAUCGUAAAACUCUGUUGGUAGAGAAGAACGUUGGUGAGAGUGGAAAGCUCAUCAAGUGACGGUAACUACACAGAAAGGGACGGCUAACUACGUG